rnacentral:rRNA from 1 species
CUACGUGUGGCAGCAGUGGGGAAUAUUGGACAAUGGGCGAAAGCCUGAUCCAGCCAUGCCGCGUGUGUGAAGAAGGCCUUCGGGUUGUAAAGCACUUUCAGUGGGGAAGAAAGCCUUGGGGCUAAUACCCUCGAGGAAGGACAUCACCCACAGAAGAAGCACCGGCUAACUCCGUGCCAGCAGCCGCGGUAAUACGGAGGGUGCGAGCGUUAAUCGGAAUUACUGGGCGUAAAGCGCGCGUAGGCGGUCUGAUAAGCCGGUUGUGAAAGCCCCGGGCUCAACCUGGGAACGGCAUCCGGAACUGUCAGGCUAGAGUGCAGGAGAGGAAGGUAGAAUUCCCGGUGUAGCGGUGAAAUGCGUAGAGAUCGGGAGGAAUACCAGUGGCGAAGGCGGUCUUCUGGACUGACACUGACGCUGAGGUGCGAAAGCGUGGGUAGCAAACAGGAUUAGAUACCCCAGUAGUC